AUGUGCAACACGAGGUUGGUAGUACCUGGCACUAUGCUUCGAUUGCAAGGACAUCUACCUUCAAAUCUUUUACAUUGUUUAUUGCUGUUUUCACCCUGGCUCUGCGCAUUGUUUUUGUUCUGCUUAUUGGCGCAGAGCAACCAAGCUGACAGUGACCAUCGGGAGGUUAUACAUUGUAUUCGUGGACAGGGAGGUGUCAUGGCUCGACACUUAGCAUGUACAUACUGGAAGCCGACGCCAUGUUGGUGUGGUCAGGUGGGCUGCCCCAUUCCCGGGCUUAGGUUUCUGCUCCCAGGUCCUCAUCAGGUAGCAUCAAUUCUAUCUGCCACCGACAGGGAUCAGAACCAGCCCGGGGACGACGAACAGGACCAGCGAGAAAGUAAGCGAUGUGAUUUAUUGGAAUUCCUUGCGUGCCAGCAACUGCAUGAACACUUUCAAAUUUAUGGGUCACUGCCUUACUAUCAUGGCGCGUUUACCUACUUUUUGGCAUGUCUUUUCGGAUGGACCAUAUGUAUCCCAACCAGCCGUUCACGUUGCUGCCACAUAAUAAUGGCAUUAAAUCGCAUGUUUCAGCAGGGAACUCGACCUGUAGUUCUGUAG
rnacentral:rRNA from 1 species